AGAGUUUGAUUAUGGCUCAGAGUUAACGCUGGCGGCGUGCCUAACACAUGCAAGUCGAGCGAAUUCUUACAGAGUAUCGUAAGAGUUAGCGGCAAACGGGUGAGUAACACGUGGGAAACCUCCCUUAGAAUGGGGAACAUCUCCGUGAAAACGGAGCUAAUACCGCAUAAGACCACAGUUUGGCAUCAAACAGGGGUAAAAGCAGCAAUGCGUUCUAAGAUGGUCCUGUGUCCUAUCAGCUAGUUGGUGGGGUAACGGCCUACCAAGGCUAAGACGGGUAUCCGGCCUGAAAGGGUGAACGGACACACUGGAACUGAGACACGGUCCAGACUCCUACGGGAGGCAGCAGUGGGGAAUUUUGGACAAUGGGGGGAAAAACCCCUGAUCCAGCGACGCCGCGUGGAGGAUGAAGGUUUUAGGAUUGUAAACUCCUUUUGGAGGGGAAGAAUAAAUCGACGGUACCCUCAGAAAAAGCCACGGCUAACUUCGUGCCAGCAGCCGC
rnacentral:rRNA from 1 species